UGGUGUUGUGUGUCUGUGUGUUUUGCACUGUGUUUUGUGACUUUUGUGUUUUCUUAUGUGAUCUUGGCCGCUCAGACACGGGAUAAUCGCAUAACUUGUGCAUAUUCUUAUAAAUGAAAUAGUUGAGGUUGAUUUCAUAAUUGAAGUAAUACAGUUGGUGUGGUAUUACAUUAUAAAACCUUGCAAGAUCAAAGGCUGGGGACCGUGGCCUCAGCCUUGCAAGAAAUCUGAACGUGUCGUUACAACAGUUGAAAGAUUUUGGAUAACUUUCAGAAGUAAAUCUGAUGAAUGUUUCUUGAAAAGUAAGGCAUGAUCUAUUGAAAAGCUUGAAGUUCUUGAUGGCCCAGCUUUACAGAUGAAAUCUGAAGAAGUGUUUGCUGAUAGAUGAUGCACACUAUAAUCUGGGCAACAUUUGUCACUUAAUCAUAAACUUUUACAUCUUAGCACAUCAUACUAUAUACACUUGCUAGUGGCAUCAAGCUCAGAGUUGUAAUUUUACAAGCAACUUUGUCAUGGCUUCCAAAAUGUCUUCAAAUUCACCAAGUAAUGGUGGAGCCAGUACGCACGGAGCUAUUCCGAAGGAUACACAGGCAGCGAUGAGCAGUAAUGAUUCAGGACAAAAUUAUGAGCCUCCAGAUAUUGAUCCUGUUACAUUAAAGAGAAAUCCUAAAAUGGAGCUUAGCAAAGCUGAUUUGCUCAAGCUGCUCAGCUGCCUAGAGGGAGAGCUACAAGCCCGUGAUGUUGUGAUAGCAACAUUGAAGAAUGAAAAGGUGAAGCACAUGCUGUGUCAGGCUCGCUAUGGG